AUUGAACGCUGGCGGCAGGCCUAACACAUGCAAGUCGAGCGGCAGCGGGAAAGUAGCUUGCUACUUUUGCCGGCGAGCGGCGGACGGGUGAGUAAUGCCUGGGGAUCUGCCCAGUCGAGGGGGAUAACUACUGGUAACGGUAGCUAAUACCGCAUACGCCCUACGGGGGAAAGCAGGGGACCUUCGGGCCUUGCGCGAUUGGAUGAACCCAGGUGGGAUUAGCUAGUUGGUGAGGUAAUGGCUCACCAAGGCGACGAUCCCUAGCUGGUCUGAGAGGAUGACAAGCCACACUGGAACUGAGACACGGUCCAGACUCCUACGGGAGGCAGCAGUGGGGAAUAUUGCACAAUGGGGGAAACCCUGAUGCAGCCAUGCCGCGUGUGUGAAGAAGGCCUUCGGGUUGUAAAGCACUUUCAGCGAGGAGGAAAGGUUGGUAGCUAAUAACUGCCAGCUGUGACGUUACUCGCAGAAGAAGCACCGGCUAACUCCGUGCCAGCAGCCGCCGUAAGAC
rnacentral:rRNA from 1 species